CUACACACCGGUAGCGGUGUGUGGAGAAUCGCUGCAGGGGCCGUCCACCGGCGCAACGCUGAACUAAAAAGAGCAGUGUUCGAUCACAUCUAUGGAAUUGGCCAGGUUUUGAUGGCAAGCUAGGAACCCUGCAUUGAGGCAACACGCCUGGAAGCUGGAAGCCCAGAUGAACUGAUGAGCUGUCACCCACCUGCUUUGC